AGUCAAUAGAUACCCAGGUAGUCCACGCCGUAAACGAUGAAUACAAGGUGUAGGGGUUGUCAUGACCUCUGUGCCGCCGCUAACGCAUUAAGUAUUCCGCCUGGGGAGUACGGUCGCAAGAUUAAAACUCAAAGGAAUUGACGGGGGCCCGCACAAGCAGCGGAGCAUGUGGUUUAAUUCGAAGCAACGCGAAGAACCUUACCUAGACUUGACAUCUCCUGAAUUACUCUGUAAUGGAGGAAGCCCUUCGGGGCAGGAAGACAGGUGGUGCAUGGUUGUCGUCAGCUCGUGUCGUGAGAUGUUGGGUUAAGUCCCGCAACGAGCGCAACCCUUAUUGUUAGUUGCUACCAUUAAGUUGAGCACUCUAGCGAGACUGCCCGGGUUAACCGGGAGAAGGUGGGGAUGACGUCAAAUCAUCAUGCCCCUUAUGUCUAGGGCUACACACGUGCUACAAUGGCUGGUACAGAGAGAUGCUAAACCGCGAGGUGGAGCCAAACUUUAAACCAGUCUCAGUUCGGAUUGUAGGCUGAAACUCGCC
rnacentral:rRNA from 1 species